UUGCGGCAUGUCAUUCUAGGAUCGUCAGAGCAAAAGGGAGGAUAGCCUAUGAGCAUUUCAUACAUGAUUGCCCCCAGUGACCACCAGUCACACUCCAUUCCAUAUCCUUUCUUCAAUAAAACUUCAGGUGCCAUAUAAUCAAGAGUUCCAACAGUCGAAUAUGCCUGCAAAAGUUACCAUUCAGCUAAUGCUUUUUCCCCAAUCUUCUUUAAGUAUAUCAGUAUAAAAUAAAUGCGUAAAUUACAUUUAUGGUCACUAAAUUUGUACUAAAAUUUCAUGCUAAGCUUUUGUUUCUACUGAACUUAAACUUUGUUUCAAGUUGUACGCUUCGUCCAUUUCUAAUAGUCCAACAGAUAUGCUGACGUGACACUCUAGUUUUUCCCAAGUAGCUGCCAACUAGAUUUUCAUGUUAGCUUUUCUAUUAGUCAAACCGGACGAUAUGGAUGGAAUGACCUCAUUGUGAAAAGAGCUGAAGUUUACUUGAAACAAAAUUUAAGUUCAGUAAUCAAUUUGAAACAAAAUAUAACGACCAAAGUGAAAUUUCACGAAAAGUUCAGAGUCCACUUUCAUUUUUAACCCGCUUACAAUAGUGAAAGCGAAAAUUGUCGGACCAACAUACUAUUCCAACUAAGCAACAAAAUGAGUAUAAAAGAAUACCAAGGCACGACGGUUACGUUUCCACUGCUGUAACUGCUCCUUCGCCAUUAACCAAGGAGCACUAUCAUUGCCAUCAUGCCCUUCACUAUCACUUCUAGACUCCUGAUUAGUAAAAUCAUCGUCUUCCAACAACGAUGAAUAUUUAUUAUCCAGGGGCUUACACAAGCCAAAGUCAGAAAGCUUUAAAUGGCCAUUUUUGUCCAAUAUUAGGUUGUCUGGUUUGAUGUCCCUACAAUAAGCACCAAUUUGAUAGCACUAAGGUUGUAGAAAUAUAUAUAAGAACAACAUGCACAUAUAAAUAAGCAAAAGUUGGUGCAUUAAAAGUAUGGCUAAUGCUUGAAAUAACAGGUUCGAUGACAACAUUUCUGUAGGAAAAGGCCUAUCUAUCUAGUUCCAUUUGAUUGACUUUUGACUCUGCUAUCAAACAGGGAAAGAAGAACGAGCAAAUCAUACAAAUACUUAGGAUAAAAUGAUGAAUUACAUUGAUACCUAUGGACAUAACCGUGCUGGUGAAUCGAAUGAAUCGCUAGAAUGCUUUCUGCAAUGUAGAACCGUGCAACAUCUUCGGAAAGGGUAUCCUCUCUCAUAAGUAAAGUCAUAAUAUCACCACCAGGCAAGUAUUCCAUAAUAAGGUAUAAAAAAUCAGAAUCUUGGAAAGAAUAAAAAAGCUUCACUAUGCAACGACUAUCCACCUCCACAAGCAAAUUCCUCUCAGAUCGGACAUUAUUGAAGUGAUUAAGAAAUCCCUCACAGACAAGAUUUAAAUGAUUUUCACAAUUACAAGUAAUCUUUGAGAGAUUUCUUUAACCAUUCCUUGAAAUUCAAGUACAAAAGCUAACGAUAUUAACAUACUUCCGCAAACUUUUCAAAAUUCUGUGUGUCUAACUCUCCAGUUACUGUAGGUUUGUAGGCAGGUUCCAUUUCAUAAAGGGUAUCCCAGUUAACGCCUGUAAACCACGGAUGUGCCUGGAAUUGAAAACAAGGUAAUGCUAAUCACAAAGAAAACUAGUCUUUUUGUAGAAAUUCCUCUUGUACAAUCACUAAUACUAUAAAUAUAAAGUUUAUCCAAGUUCCUGAAAAUAAUAUUUUUUCUACCUUUGUCUGUGUAUGGACAUAUAUGUCAUUCAUUUUACCUUUAUUUCGUCCACUCCUCUGGUCCCCAACCUUCUUUCAACAUCACAUAACAAAUGACAGAUCAGAUCCUUGGCCUCAACUGAGAUUUUUGGUUCUUCAGGGAAUUUCAAGCAUGUUUUCCAAUUGAUAAUCUGAUACAAGAAAGAAGCAUGAUAUAUCUUGCAAAAAACGAGGGAUAUUUUUGAAAUAGUAAAAAUAAUGAUUAGCGCAAGUGUGAAAAGAUUAUAUUUAACAUUGCUACAUCAACUAUGUGUAAAUGGGUACGAAUUAUGAUUAAAAAUACUGAAAUUAUUGACGAUUCCCAUGGAGAUCUCAUUUGAGAAGAACCAGCAAAAAAAUUUCAUUCUGCAAAACUUUUCAUACUUUGCAAAUUCUUGCAUCGUCAAGAAGUUUGAACAAUCACAAACUGACAAGUAUUACAAUACCUUGCGGCAUGUCAUUCUAGGAUCGUCAGAGCAAAAGGGAGGAUAGCCUAUGAGCAUUUCAUACAUGAUUGCCCCCAGUGACCACCAGUCACACUCCAUUCCAUAUCCUUUCUUCAAUAAAACUUCAGGUGCCAUAUAAUCAAGAGUUCCAACAGUCGAAUAUGCCUGCAAAAGUUACCAUUCAGCUAAUGCUUUUUCCCCAAUCUUCUUUAAGUAUAUCAGUAUAAAAU
rnacentral:lncRNA from 1 species